CAGAGUAGAAUCGCGCGCGUUAAGUGCCGCCCGAACGGGGAGUUGUCGAGCGGACGAAAAGAUUUCUUGCGGUGCGCGACUCGCAUCCCGCUGU
rnacentral:ncRNA from 1 species